rnacentral:rRNA from 1 species
UACGGAGGGGGCUAGCGUUGUUCGGAUUUACUGGGCGUAAAGGGCGCGUAGGCGGCCAGCACAAGUCAGUUGUGAAAUCUCCGAGCUUAACUCGGAAAGGUCAACUGAUACUGUGCGGCUAGAGUGCGGAAGGGGCAACUGGAAUUCUUGGUGUAGCGGUGAAAUGCGUAGAUAUCAAGAGGAACACCUGCGGCGAAGGCGGGUUGCUGGGCCGACACUGACGCUGAGGCGCGAAAGCUAGGGGAGCGAACGGG